CUAAGCAUAUCAAUAAGCGGAGGARWAGAAACCMAACAGGGAUUGCSUUAGUAACGGCGAGUGAAGCGGCAACAGCUCAAAUUUGAAAGCUGGCCCUUUUAGGGUCCGCGUUGUAAUUUGUAGAGGAUGAUUCGGCGAGGGCUCCUGCCUAAGUCCCCUGGAACGGGGCGUCAUAGAGGGUGAGAAUCCCGUAUGCGGUAGGUUGCCUUAGCCAUGUGAAUCUCCUUCGACGAGUCGAGUUGUUUGGGAAUGCAGCUCUAAAUGGGAGGUAAAUUUCUUCUAAAGCUAAAUACUGGCCAGAGACCGAUAGCGCACAAGUAGAGUGAUCGAAAGAUGAAAAGCACUUUGGAAAGAGAGUUAAAAAGUACGUGAAAUUGUUGAAAGGGAAGCGCUUGCAACCAGACUUGUCCGCAGUUGCUCAGCCGGUCUCCUGACCGGCGUACUCUUCUGCGGCCAGGCCAGCAUCAGUUCGGGCGGUCGGAUAAAGGCCUCGGGAAUGUAGCUCCUCUCGGGGAGUGUUAUAGCCCGGGGUGGAAUGCGACCAGCCUGGACUGAGGAUCUCGCUUCGGCAAGGAUGCUGGCGUAAUGGUUGUAAGCGGCCCGUCUUGAAACACGGACCAAGGAGUCUAACAUCUAUGCGAGUGUUCGGGUGUCAAACCCGUACGCGUAAUGAAAGUGAACGGAGGUGGGAACCCGCAAGGGUGCACCAUCGGCCGAUCCUGAUGUCUUCGGAUGGAUUUGAGCAAGAGCAUAGCUGUUGGGACCCGAAAGAUGGUGAACUAUGCCUGAAUAGGGUGAAGCCAGAGGAAACUCUGGUGGAGGCUCGCAGCGGUUCUGACGUGCAAAUCGAUCGUCAAAUUUGGGUAUAGGGGCGAAAGACUAAUCGAWCCAUCUAKUAGCUGGUUCCUGCCGAAGUUCCCCCUUCAAGGAAA
rnacentral:rRNA from 1 species